rfam:Volvox carteri f. nagariensis unplaced genomic scaffold VOLCAscaffold_11, whole genome shotgun sequence.
GGGCCUAUGGCUUAAUGGAUAAAGCGCCGGUCUACGGAUCCGGAUAUUCCAGGUUCGAUCCCUGGUAGGCUCG